AAAACUUUGAAUCUAGUCUCCUAAUGAAAAUAUGAAAGAUUUGUAUUUGUUUUCAAUGUUGGCCAAACUUUUUGAAAAGCAUUGUUUUAACAUUAUGUCUGUAACAUUUAGUGUUUGUAUGUUUAAAAUUUUUAAUUUCUAUUAAUACCAGUAGAACUGUAUGUGCUCUACUGUAUACUCCAACUCUAUCCAUCUUCCCAGCCUUUUAUGUAGAGCCACAAAAGAUGCUGUAACGACGUGAAUAUUCUACAAAUAUGUUCAGCUUUGUGAAGCAAGAUACUUUCCUAACCUAACAUUUUCUUCAGUUUUUCUAAGAACACUGUACUAUAAUUAUAAAUAGCUUUGUGGCAGGGUGAAUGGUUGGAUGAAAUGUGCAUGAGUAAUGUAUAAUAUACAAUGCUUUUCCCCCUACCUUUUUUAAGUAUGAGGCAAAUCUGCUCUUAACUGCCAAAAUGUCAAUUCAAGGCUGUAUCAACAUGAAAAUGAAGACGUACAAUAAUAGUUGGUUGAUCCUUGAGGGGUUCCCAGCUACGCUAUGAUGGCAAGGAGUGAAAAGGACUGUGUUGGCCAUUAUAGGGCCUUAAAAUCUUCCCCAUCAUAGUCUAUGUCCCUGAAGUUAGUCAAGGAAGAUGUGUAGUACCUCAGCCGUCCACAUAUCUGUAAAAAUGCAGUGGUCAGUAUACCUCUGCCAAAUUUGUACCAGUCAAGUAAAGCUCUAUAGAUAUGCUAUGAAAAGAGAAAAAACACAAUGGAGAGUGACUGUCUUUGUCAUGAGUUUUAAGUUUGAGAAACAAAAAAACUAGACACUUUAAAAGCCAGGAAAAUGUAUAAUGAUUAUAAUGCAAAGCCAUGAAGAGAACAAUAGAAAACACCCAUGUUCAAACUCUAACUGCAAAAAUAAAAAACCUUGGACAUGGCUUUAGAGUAGCCAUGGAAAAACUACAGUCAUCCACUACUCAAAAGAAAUGGUCACUGUUAGGAAGGGGUUUGAACCAAAAUCAUUUUCCAAUCAUUUCAGUUUUUUAAUUAAUUCCAUUCCACUAUUCAAACCACUAAAAUACAUUUGAGAACUGUUUCAACUUCCAAAAAUGUUCUGGUUUAUGUUUUUUUCUUGUCUUUUUUUAUCACAUUAAGCUUUGUAAAUCACUGAUCAAUGCAGAUAGAGCAGCAUGGUAUGAAAUGGCCAAGCUAGCUAGUUGUUUACAUGCUUGAUUGACAGCUAAGUGUAGGGUGCGAGAAACAUUUUAUGAGAAAGGAGUGGACAUGAAGGAAGCUCAGCUUAAAGUGUUGGACAUCAGGAUAUUACUUGCUAUUAUUUAAAUGAAUUACAGAAUUACUAGAACGCUACAGAGGAUUCAUUUACUGAUUUACAGAAUUAUUAGAACACUACAGGGGAGGGGCUACUGUGGAGGAGCCCUGAAUGACAUCUGUAGUAACUAUUUCUGUAUCAGAGUUGAGCUAGAUAACAAGCUCAUGUGGGCCCAUUUUCAUGUUUUCUCUUUUUGUGUUCUAUUACCUGAUCCAGUUCCAACCGCUGCUAGUAGGUAAUAACUCACAAUGAUGAAAUACAGUCAACCAACCAGGGUCAGGGACCAAAUAGUGAGUUUUUUUGUUACCUCAUGACUGAAAACAUUUGCUACACCUCAAACUGGAACUAGUAGGAAACCUGUCUAUGGCUGGCUUCAUGUGCUCAUGUGAAAAUGUAAACUGGAAGUGGUGGGUCUAACACGAAUUGGUAAUACUAAAGUUUGCUAACAACACUGACAAUUAUCAAAGUAGCUACAUUAUCCAUUUUGAUAACGGUCAGAAAUAGAUUUUUCUCUUCCUUUGGGGAAAAGGUAAAAGGGUAAUCACAUUUAUUCAGAGUUUCCCACUUGUAAAUUCACCUUGUCAUCCAAGUAAAAUGUUCCACUGGAAACUAGGACCUUCCGAUAACUCCGGGGCCAUACAGCAUAUUCCUGAGCUCUGACUUCCUCCACAUUUGACCUCUGAGUCUGACAACUACUUACUACAGAAAUGAUCUUAUUAAAAGGGUUUUCAUUUGUUAAAUGCGGCAAAGAAAAGAAUGUUUAUAAAAACAAUCUGUUAAUGUGGUUUCUGAAAUAACUUUUAUUCACGAGCAUGCUGGCUAUUCUUAAAUUAAGGUUAUCAACAUCAACGCAGAUGGUGGCAAUUAGCCAACCACUGUUUCCUAACGACUUCAAUCCAACUGGUAUUUACAACUUCAGAACUAGAAAUUUCACACUUUCACUUGGUUAGUCAGUUUUAAUUACUGUCUUCAUGAUGGGUCUUCAUGUCCUGUACAGCUCUGCAACAGGAAACUUUAACCAUAACCAUCUCGCAGUUCAACCACCACCUAUAGUGACCGACUGACCACACACUGCUCUUUCUUGACUUUUCCUCACUCUAAUACUAUACUGUAUUCCUUCCUGUCUCUCUUCUUGGGUGAUUUUUAAUAGUUUCUGUCUGCAGCUGUGUAGUAUAAAAUAGUCUUGUGACCUGUGCAUCCUCCCUAUCCUUUUCCGAAGUCAUAUCUAAUGUAGCAAUUAGUUUGACGUGAAAGUAUUAGUGCUUUUCUGAUAUUUGUGUGCAAUAUCUCCUCCGCCCUCAUAUGGGACAUUUGAUGUACUAAUAAUAAAAAGACAACCUACAAAAAUAGUCACAAUAAUAAAAUGUUGGGGAAAAUCUCGAA
ensembl:lncRNA